rnacentral:rRNA from 1 species
AUUGAACGCUGGCGGCAUGCUUUACACAUGCAAGUCGAACGGCAGCACGGGAGCUUGCUCCUGGUGGCGAGUGGCGAACGGGUGAGUAAUGCAUCGGAACGUACCCAGUAGUGGGGGAUAGCCCGGCGAAAGCCGGAUUAAUACCGCAUAUUUCCUGAGGGAGAAAGCGGGGGGACCUUCGGGCCUCGCGCUACUGGAGCGGCUGAUGUCGGAUUAGCUAGUUGGUGAGGUAAAGGCUCACCAAGGCGACGAUCCGUAGCUGGUCUGAGAGGAUGAUCAGCCACACUGGGACUGAGACACGGCCCAGACUCCUACGGGAGGCAGCAGUGGGGAAUUUUGGACAAUGGGGGCAACCCUGAUCCAGCCAUGCCGCGUGAGUGAAGAAGGCCUCGGUGUAAG